CCAGGGUGGAGUUCGACGGGUCGUGGGUGUCGGCGCCUUCCAGCCCGGGACAGUACGCCAGGAACCGCUACGGCCACGAGAUGUUCCGCCACGCCCAGCACUGGCUUGAUACCGGUCGCGGCUCCGGCUGGGACAACUACGACGCGGGGAAGUUCUUGCCGUGCCCUCACCCCGCCCACCACGCCUGCCUUGACCAGUACGUCCCGGACGGCAACCUCAGGCUCCACCCCCUGUGCGUGUCCUAGGGCGGGACCUGUGCGAAGGAAGACAAGUGUCUCAGAGUGAUGGGAAAAAGACGAUUGAGAAUGUCUUGAGGAAUCUCAGACGCCUGUGAAGCCUUGCUUGAUCCCCUCAUGAUAAAAAGUAACCAUGUAACACGGGUAUUACAAACUCCGCCCCCUUUCGAGUGAAAGAGCCGAUGCAUACAUAAUACUGUUCGUGGACACCCAUUGUUACUUAUAUUCCUAUGAGAAAGGAAGGUAUGAUAUUAAAUAAGACUUACUC